rnacentral:rRNA from 1 species
UACCACAUCCAAGGAAGGCAGCAGGCACGCAAAUUACCCACUCCCGGCACGGGGAGGUAGUGACAAAAAAUAACGAUACGGGACUCAUCCGAGGCCCCGUAAUCGGAAUGAGAACACUCUAAAUCCUUUAACGAUGAUCUAUUGGAGGGAAAGUCUGGUGCCAGCAGCCGCGGUAAUUCCAGCUCCAAUAGCGUAUAUUNNNNNNNNNNNNNNNNNNNNNNNNNNCCGCGCUGUCGGUUCACCGCCUGCCGGUGCAACUGGCAUGCCGCGGCAUGUCCUGUCGGUGGCGGAUAGGCUUCACGGCGCCUCCCUAGCGGUACUCAGUUAUCGUGUGGGCAGCCGCGCCGCGUUGUCCUUGUACGCCGGCUCAAUCCUACCGCGGUGCUCUUCACCGAGUGUCGAGGUAGGCCGACACUGUUUACUUUGAACAAAUUAGAGUGCUUCAAGCAGGCUCUUAAAUCAGCCUGGAUAGUGGUGCAUGGAAUAAUGGAACAGGACCUUGGUUCUAUUUUGUUGGUUUCCGGAAUCCAAGGUAAUGAUCAAUAAGGACGGGCGGGGGCAUUCUCCUUGGCAAAUGCUUUCGCNNNNNNNNNNNNNNNNNNNCGCAAGACGCACUAAAGCGAAAGCAUUUGCCAAGUACGUCUUAAUUGAUCAAGAACGAAAGUUAGAGGUUCGAAGGCGAUCAGAUACCGCCCUAGUUCUAACCAUAAACGAUGCCAGCCAGCGAUCCGCCGACGUUCCUCCGAUGACUCGGCGGGGAGCUUCCCCCGGGGAAACCAAAGCUUUUGGGUUCCGGGGGGAAGUAUGGUUGCAAAGCUGAAAACUUAAAGGAAUUGACGGAAGGGCACCACCAGGAGUGGAGCCUGCGGCUUAAUUUGACUCAACACGGGGGAAACCUCACCAGGCCCGGACAUUGGAAGGAUUGACAGAUCGAUAGCUCUUUCUCGAUUCAGUGGGGAGUGGUGCAUGGCCGUUCUUAGUUGGUGGACUGAUUUGUCUGGUUA